UGGGGAAUAUUGGACAAUGGGGGCAACCCUGAUCCAGCCAUGCCGCGUGAGUGAUGAAGGCCCUAGGGUUGUAAAGCUCUUUUGUGGGGGAAGAUAAUGACGGUACCGCAAGAAUAAGCCCCGGCUAACUUCGUGCCAGCAGCCGCGGUAAUACGAAGGGGGCUAGCGUUGCUCGGAAUCACUGGGCGUAAAGGGUGCGUAGGCGGGUCUUUAAGUCAGGGGUGAAAUCCUGGAGCUCAACUCCAGAACUGCCUUUGAUACUGAAGAUCUUGAGUUCGGGAGAGGUGAGUGGAACUGCGAGUGUAGAGGUGAAAUUCGUAGAUAUUCGCAAGAACACCAGUGGCGAAGGCGGCCCACUUGGCCCGAUACUGACGCUGAGGCACGAAAGCGUGGGGAGCAAACA
rnacentral:rRNA from 1 species